AUGGCUGCUAAGAUGGUGAUCAGCCUGGGGGGCUCGCGGCGGCGGAAGCGCGGCGAGGUGCUGUUCCGGUUCGACUCCUUCUGCCAGCCCGGCUACCCGGCGCAGCUCGCCGGCGCGUUCCGGGACAACGUCAGGACCCUGCUCGGGCUCGCGCACCUGGAGGCCGGCGUCCAGGGGGAGACCAGGUGCUGGUCGUUCCAGCUCGAGCUGCACCGCCACCCGCCCACCGUCGUCAGGCUCUUCGUCGUCGAGGAGGAGGUCGCCGCCUCGCCGCACCGCCAGUGCCACCUCUGCCGUGUCAUCGGUUGGGGUCGGCACCUGAUAUGCAGCAAGAGGUUUCACUUCGUGCUGCCCAAGAGGGAGUCCUCCGUGGAGACCGACGGGCUGUGCUACGGGAUCGGCCACGGUGGCGGCGGCGCCGAGAAGGCGUCGAAAGGGACGGCGACCUCCAGGGGCCACCUGCUGCACGGCAUCGUGCACCUCAACGGCUACGGCCACCUCGUCGCCCUCCACGGCUUCGAGGGCGGCUCCGACUUCGUCUCCGGCCACCAGAUCAUGGACCUCUGGGACCGCAUAUGCUCAGCCUUGCACGUAAGGACGGUGAGCCUUGUGGACACGGCGAGGAAAGGGCACAUGGUGCUCAGGCUGCUGCACGGCGUCGCGUACGGCGACACAUGGUUCGGCCGGUGGGGCUACAGGUACGGCCGCCCGAGCUACGGCGUCGCGCUGCAGUCGUACCAGCAGUCCCUCCACGCGCUCCAGUCCAUACCGCUCUGCGUGCUCGUGCCGCACCUCUCCCGCUUCAGCCAGGAGCUCCCCAUGGUGGUCACCAAGUACCAGGCCAUCAGCGGCCACAAGCUGCUCAACCUCGGCGACCUCCUCCGCUUCAUGCUCGAGCUCCGGACCCGCCUGCCGGCCACCUCCGUCACCGCGAUGGACUACCGCGGCAUCAUGUCCGACGCGUCGUGCCGGUGGUCGGCCAAGCGCGUGGACAUGGCGGCCCGCGCCGUCGUGGACGCGCUCCGCCGGUCCGAGGCGCCGGCCACGCGGUGGGUCACGCGGCAAGAGGUGCGCGACGCGGCGCGCACCUACAUCGGCGACACGGGCCUCCUCGACUUCGUGCUCAAGUCCCUCGGCAACCACAUCGUUGGCAACUAUGUGGUGCGGCGCGCCAUGAACCCGGUGACCAAGGUGCUCGAGUACUGCCUGGAGGACGUGUCCAGCGUGCUCCCGGCGGCGGUCGGAGCAGGAGCCGGCGUGCCGCCGGGCCACGGCAAGAUGAGGGUGCGGUUCCACCUCACCAGGGCACAGCUCAUGAGAGACCUUGUGCACCUGUACAGGCACGUGCUCAAGGAGCCGAGCCAGGCGCUCACCACCGGCGCGUUCGGCGCGAUCCCGGUGGCGGUAAGGAUGGUCUUGGACAUCAAACACUUCGUCAAGGACUACCACGAAGGGAUGGCUGCCACCAACAGCGGCGUAGUCGGGCAUGUCUACAUCAGCCUUUGCUGCACCUUGAUCGUGAGGAACGGGAGCCCGGAGCUGGUUCCGCCGUACGAGACGGUGACCGUGCCGGCGCAUGCCACCGUGGGCGAACUCAAGUGGGAAGUGCAGAGGCUGUUCAGAGAUAUGUACCUCGGCCUGAGGACCUUCACGGCUGAGUGCGUCGUGGGGAUCGGCGCCGGCCUAGAGGCCAGCCCGGCGCUCGGACUGAUCGGCGUGGGGAGCACCGUCGUGGUCGAAGGGGUGGUCGGCGAGCAGCAGGAACCGGCCGAGGAGGGCGACCAGAGGAAGAAAGCGGCUACCGUGUGCGAGGGGGGCGGCGACGUCGGAGAGAGGGUCGUAGACUGCGUAUGUGGCGCGGACGACGACGACGGCGAGCGCAUGGCGUGCUGCGACAUCUGCGAGGCAUGGCAGCACACGCGGUGCGCCGGGGUCGCGGACACGGAGGACGUCCCGCACGUCUUCCUCUGCAGCCGGUGCGACAACGACGUGGCUUCGUUCCCGGCCUUGAACUGCUAG
rnacentral:rRNA from 1 species